CGCCGCACAUGGCAAACCCAUUGAAAGAUGGGGACGCAAAGCUAAAGGGGCUACCGCCGGGAUAACAGGCCAUGCCAGCCAGCUGCCGGA
rnacentral:ncRNA from 1 species